AAGCGCUUGCAGUCAGACUUGCUUGUGGUGGAACAACCUGUGUCUUCACUAGUGUACUCCGCCACAAACAGGCCAGCAUCAGUUUGGGUGGCUGGACAAAGACCUUGGGAAUGUGACUUCCUCCGGGGAGUGUUAUAGCCCAUGGUGCAAUGCAGCCUGCCUAGACUGAGGCCCGCGCUUCGGCUAGGAUGCUGGCGUAAUGGCUGUAAGCGA
rnacentral:rRNA from 1 species